rnacentral:tRNA from 1 species
GGAUUGUGGCUCAGUGGUAGAGUGCUAGCCUAGCCGUGCGAGGCCCUGGGUUUGAUCCUCAGCACCA